GUGUUGUUUUUAUAGGUUUUGGACUCGAUUUGUGAAGUUUUGGAUGAAGUAUGUGAAGAGACGAGUCCAUAGGCGCAAACGGGGCUCAAAUCGGGCACCGGAUGAGCAAGAACGAGCGUCGGGAAGUUCGCGGGUCGGAGUGCGUGCGCUGGAGGUCGCGCGGUCCGGGCAUGCGGCCGCAUGCCACGGCCGCGCGACGAAGCAGGAGUUGCUGGAGCACCGCGCGGGCCAGGCGCGCGGCCGCGCGAGGAGACCGCGCGAGCUCGCGCGGGCUGGCCAUGCGGCCGCGCGAGACGCCGAGUUCCGCCCAGUUUUUCCGAUUUUUCACUAAAAGCGCGUUUUUUUGAGUAUUUUCAGGUUUAGACGACCUAGGGC
rnacentral:lncRNA from 1 species